rnacentral:rRNA from 1 species
CCUACGGGUGGCAGCAGUGAGGAAUAUUGGUCAAUGGGCGCGAGCCUGAACCAGCCAAGUCGCGUGAGGGAGGACGGCCCUACGGGUUGUAAACCUCUUUUGUCGGGGAGCAAAAGACGCCACGCGUGGCGUUCCGAGAGUACCCGAAGAAAAAGCAUCGGCUAACUCCGUGCCAGCAGCCGCGGUAAUACGGAGGAUGCGAGCGUUAUCCGGAUUUAUUGGGUUUAAAGGGUGCGCAGGCGGAAGAUCAAGGCAGCGGUAAAAUUGAGAGGCUCAACCUCUUCGAGCCGUUGAAACUGGUUGUCUUGAGUGAGUGAGAAGUAUGCGGAAUGCGUGGUGUAGCGGUGAAAUGCAGAGAUAUCACGCAGAACUCCGAUUGCGAAGGCAGCAUACCGGCGCUCAACUGACGCUCAUGCACGAAAGUGUGGGUAUCGAACAGGAUUAGAUACCCUUGUAGUC